GACGAACGCUGGCGGCGUGCUUAACACAUGCAAGUCGAGCGAUGAAAUUCCUUCGGGAAUGGAUUAGCGGCGGACGGGUGAGUAACACGUGGGCAACCUGCCUCAAAGAGGGGAAUAGCCUCCCGAAAGGGAGAUUAAUACCGCAUAAUAUUGUUGAAUCGCAUGGUUUAACAAUUAAAGGAGUAAUCCGCUUUGAGAUGGGCCCGCGGCGCAUUAGCUAGUUGGUAAGGUAACGGCUUACCAAGGCAACGAUGCGUAGCCGACCUGAGAGGGUGAUCGGCCACAUUGGAACUGAGAUACGGUCCAG
rnacentral:rRNA from 1 species